UGAAGAUGUGUGACGAUAGCGGU
rnacentral:siRNA from 1 species